rnacentral:rRNA from 1 species
AUUCCAGCUCCAAUAGCGUAUAUUAAAGUUGUUGCAGUUAAAAAGCUCGUAGUUGGAUUUCUGGUGUGGGGUGCUUGACCCGCCGCGGUUACGCGUGUGAGUGUCGGUGUGCUCUGCCCAUCCUUCUAGAAAUUGGCUCUGCCCUUCAUUGGGUUGGGGUCAGGAUCUAGAUCUUUUACUUUGAAAAAAUUAGAGUGUUUAAAGCAAGCGUUGCGUGAAUACAUUAGCAUGGAAUAAUAACUUAGGACUUUGGUUCUAUUUUGUUAGUUUCUAGGACCGAAGUAAUGAUUGAUAGGGAUAGUUGGGGGUGCUAGUAUUCAGCGGCCAGAGGUGAAAUUCUUGGAUUCGCUGAAGACUAACUUAUGCGAAAGCAUUCACCAAGGAUGUCUUCAUCA